rnacentral:rRNA from 1 species
UGAGUACGAGCUGCUACGGCAGCGAAGUGGGUGAUGUCAAGCUUCCAAGAAAAGCCCUAUACCCGUUAAGGCAUGACGGCCUGUACCCGAAACCGACACAGGUGGGGUGGUAGAGAAUACCGAGGGGCGCGAGAUAACUCUCUCUAAGGAACUCGGCAAAAUGGCCCCGUAACUUCGGGAGAAGGGGUGCCACCGCAAGGUGGUCGCAGUGAAGAGGCCCAGGCGACUGUUUACCAAAUACACAGGUCUCCGCUAAGUCGCAAGACGAUGUAUGGGGGCUGACGCCUGCCCAGUGCCGGAAGGUUAAGGAAGCUGGUCAGCGCAAGCGAAGCUAGCGACUGAAGCCCCGGUGAACGGCGGCCGUAACUAUAACGGUCCUAAGGUAGCGAAAUUCCUUGUCGGGUAAGUUCCGACCCGCACGAAAGGCGUAACGAUCUGGGCGCUGUCUCGGAGAGAGGCUCGGCGAAAUAGAAUUGUCUGUGAAGAUGCGGACUACGUGCACCCGGACAGAAAGACCCUAUGAAGCUUUACUGUAGCUUGGUAUUGUGCCCGGGCUCUGAAUGCGCAGGAUAGGUGGGAGGCUUUGAUCCAUUGCUUGUGGGUGAUGGUGAGCCAACGGUGAGAUACCACUCUUUCAGAGCUAGGGUUCUAACCCUCACCCGUUAUCCGGGGAGGGGACAGUAUCAGGUGGGCAGUUUGACUGGGGCGGUCGCCUCCUAAAAGGUAACGGAGGCGCGCAAAGGUUUGCUCAGGCUGGUUGGAAAUCAGCCGACGAGUGUAAAAGCAGAAGCAAGCUUGACUGUGAGACCAACAAGUCGAACAGGGACGAAAGUCGGCUUUAGUGAUCCGACGGUUCUGAGUGGAUGGGCCGUCGCUCAACGGAUAAAAGUUACUCUAGGAUAACAGGCUGAUCUCCCCCAAGAGUUCACAUCGACGGGGAGGUUUGGCACCUCGAUGUCGGCUCAUCGCAACCUGGGGCUGAAGUCGGUCCCAAGGGUUGGGCUGUUCGCCCAUUAAAGCGGUACGCGAGCUGGGUUCAGAACGUCGUGAGACAGUUCGGUCCAUAUCCGGUGCAUGCGUAAGAACAUUGAGAGGAGUUCUCCCUAGUACGAGAGGACCGGGAGGAACGCACCUCUGGUGUACCAGUUAUCGUGCCAACGGUAAACGCUGGGUAGCCAUGUGCGGAGAGGAUAACCGCUGAAAGCAUCUAAGUGGGAAGCCCACCUCAAGAUGAGUGUUCUCAUGGCUUAAGCCAGUAAGGUCACGGGAAGAACACCCGUUGAUAGGCUCUACGUGGAAGCGCAGCAAUGUGUGAAGCGGAGGAGUACUAAUAGACCGAGGGCUUGAC